GACGAACGCUGGCGGCGUGCUUAACACAUGCAAGUCGUACGGUAAGGCCCUUUCGGGGGUACACGAGUGGCGAACGGGUGAGUAACACGUGAGUAACCUGCCCACAACUUUGGGAUAACGCUAGGAAACUGGUGCUAAUACUGGAUAUGUGCUCCUGCUGCAUGGUGGGGGUUGGAAAGCUCCGGCGGUUGUGGAUGGACUCGCGGCCUAUCAGCUUGUUGGUGGGGUAGUGGCCUACCAAGGCGGCGACGGGUAGCCGGCCUGAGAGGGUGACCGGCCACAGUGGGACUGAGAUACGGCACAGACUCCUACGGGAGGCAGCAGUGGGGAAUAUUGCACAAUGGGCGCAAGCCUGAUGCAGCAACGCCGCGUGCGGGAUGACGGCCUUCGGGUUGUAAACCGCUUUCAGCAGGGACGAAGCUUUUUGUGACGGUACCUGCAGAAGAAGCACCGGCUAACUACGUG
rnacentral:rRNA from 1 species